rnacentral:rRNA from 1 species
GAUGAACGCUGGCGGCGUGCCUAACACACGCAAGUCGAGCGAGAUUAAUGUGAGUGGAGACUUCGGUCAAAGCGAUCAUUAUGAAAGCGGCGGACGGGUGAGUAACGCGUGAGCAAUCUGCCCCAUACAAAGGGAUACCCACUGGAAACGGUGAUUAAUACCUUAUAAGACCACGAAGUCGCAUGGCUUUGGGGCCAAAGCUUUAUCGGUAUGGGAUGAGCUCGCGUCUGAUUAGCUAGUUGGUAAGGUAAUGGCUUACCAAGGCGACGAUCAGUAGCCGACCUGAGAGGGUGAACGGCCACACUGGAACUGAGACACGGUCCAGACUCCUACGGGAGGCAGCAGUGGGGAAUAUUGCACAAUGGGCGCAAGCCUGAUGCAGCAACGCCGCGUGAAUGAUGAAGGCCUUCGGGUCGUAAAGUUCUGUCCAAAGGGAAGAAUAAAAUGACGGUACCUUUGGAGGAAGCCCUGGCUAACUACGUGCCAGCAGCCGCGGUAAUAC